rnacentral:rRNA from 1 species
GACGAACGCUGGCGGCGUGCAUAACACAUGCAAGUCGAGCGGUAAGGCCCUUUCGGGGGUACACGAGCGGCGAACGGGUGAGUAACACGUGAGCAACCUGCCCUUCUCUUUGGAAUAAGCGUUGGAAACGACGUCUAAUGCCGAAUAUGACCCCCUGUCGCAUGGUGGGGGGUGGAAAGCUCUGGCGGAGAAGGAUGGGCUCGCGGCCUAUCAGCUUGUUGGUGUGGGUAAUGGCCCACCAAGGCGACGACGGGUAGCCGGCCUGAGAGGGUGACCGGCCACACUGGGACUGAGACACGGCCCAGACUCCUACGGGAGGCAGCAGUGGGGAAUAUUGGACAAUGGGCGAAAGCCUGAUCCAGCAACGCCGCGUGAGGGAUGACGGCCUUCGGGUUGUAAACCUCUUUCAGCAGGGACGAAGCGAGAGUGACGGUACCUGCAGAAGAAGGACCGGCCAACUACGUGCCAGCCGCCGCGGUAACAC